rnacentral:tRNA from 1 species
GAGGGUGUAGCUCAGUAGUAGAGCACGUGCUCAGCAUGCACAAGGUCCUGAGUUCAGUCCCCAGUACCGCCA